rnacentral:sRNA from 17 species
GUCAACUACCCAGCACGGAAGUGACUGGGCUUCUGACCUAAAACUUCAGUUGUAGUUGACUAGCCUAAGACUUUAGAGGUCUACGUUUUUUGAGUUAUGACACCAAGCGGCUGCUUAGCUAGUCCCUUGCUCUGUC